GUGCUCAUUUUGGCAGCACAUAUACUAGAAUGGGAACAAUACAGAGAAGGUUGCAUGGCCUGUGGACAAUGAUGACAUGCAAAUUUGUGAAGCUUUCCAUAUUUUU